rnacentral:rRNA from 1 species
GGAUAACCUGCCUCAAGGCUGGGGAUAACAUUUGGAAACAGAUGCUAAUACCGAAUAAAACUUAGUAUCGCAUGAUAUCAAGUUAAAAGGCGCUACGGCGUCACCUAGAGAUGGAUCCGCGGUGCAUUAGUUAGUUGGUGGGGUAAAGGCUUACCAAGACGAUGAUGCAUAGCCGAGUUGAGAGACUGAUCGGCCACAUUGGGACUGAGACACGGCCCAAACUCCUACGGGAGGCUGCAGUAGGGAAUCUUCCACAAUGGGCGCAAGCCUGAUGGAGCAACGCCGCGUGUGUGAUGAAGGCUUUCGGGUCGUAAAGCACUGUUGUAUGGGAAGAAAUGCUAAAAUAGGGAAUGAUUUUAGUUUGACGGUACCAUACCAGAAAGGGACGGCUAAAUACGUGCCAGCAGCCGCGGUAAUACGUAUGUCCCGAGCGUUAUCCGGAUUUAUUGGGCGUAAAGCGAGCGCAGACGGUUGAUUAAGUCUGAUGUGAAAGCCCGGAGCUCAACUCCGGAAUGGCAUUGGAAACUGGUUAACUUGAGUGUUGUAGAGGUAAGUGGAACUCCAUGUGUAGCGGUGGAAUGCGUAGAUAUAUGGAAGAACACCAGUGGCGAAGGCGGCUUACUGGACAACAACUGACGUUGAGGCUCGAAAGUGUGGGUAGCAAACAGGAUUAGAUACCCUGGUAGUCCACACCGUAAACGAUGAAUACUAGGUGUUAGGAGGUUUCCGCCUCUUAGUGCCGAAGCUAACGCAUUAAGUAUUCCGCCUGGGGAGUACGACCGCAAGGUUGAAACUCAAAGGAAUUGACGGGGACCCGCACAAGCGGUGGAGCAUGUGGUUUAAUUCGAAGCAACGCGAAGAACCUUACCAGGUCUUGACAUCCUUUGAAGCUUUUAGAGAUAGAAGUGUUCUCUUCGGAGACAAAGUGACAGGUGGUGCAUGGUCGUCGUCAGCUCGUGUCGUGAGAUGUUGGGUUAAGUCCCGCAACGAGCGCAACCCUUAUUGUUAGUUGCCAGCAUUCAGUUGGGCACUCUAGCGAGACUGCCGGUGACAAACCGGAGGAAGGCGGGGACGACGUCAGAUCAUCAUGCCCCUUAUGACCUGGGCUACACACGUGCUACAAUGGCGUAUACAACGAGUUGCCAACCUGCGAAGGUGAGCUAAUCUCUUAAAGUACGUCUCAGUUCGGACUGCAGUCUGCAACUCGACUGCACGAAGUCGGAAUCGCUAGUAAUCGCGGAUCAGCACGCCGCGGUGAAUACGUUCCCGGGUCUUGUACACACCGCCCGUCACACCAUGGGAGUUUGUAAUGCCCA